rnacentral:rRNA from 1 species
CCUACGGGACGCAGCAGUGGGGGAUAUUGCACAAUGGGGGGAACCCUGAUGCAGCGACGCCGCGUGGGUGAAGAAGUAUUUCGGUAUGUAAAGCCCUAUCGGCAGGGAAGAAAUUGGACGGUACCUGACUAAGAAGCCCUGGCUAAAUACGUGCCAGCAGCCGCGGUAAUACGUAUGGUGCAAGCGUUAUCCGGAUUUACUGGGUGUAAAGGGAGCGCAGGCGGCACGGCAAGCCUGAUGUGAAAGCCCGCGGCCCAACCGCGGGACUGCAUUGGGAACUACCGGGCUGGAGUGCCGGAGAGGUG